GGUGAGAUGGCCGAGCGGUCUAAGGCGCCAGCUUAAGGUUAAUCUAAUACGCUGGUCCGAAAGGGCAGGGGUUCGAAUCCCCUUCUCAUCA
rnacentral:tRNA from 1 species